AGCAGCCGCCGCGGUAAUACGAAGGGUGCAAGCGUUAAUCGGAAUUACUGGGCGUAAAGCGCACGCAGGCGGUCUGACAAGUCAGAUGUGAAAUCCCCGGGCUCAACCUGGGAACUGCAUUGGUGACUGUAACGCUGGAGUGCGGCAGAGGGGGAUGGAAUUCCGCGUGUAGCAGUGAAAUGCGUAGAUAUGCGGAGGAACACCGAUGGCGAAGGCAAUCCCCUGGGCCUGUACUGACGCUCAUGCACGAAAGCGUGGGGAGCAAACAGGAUUAGAUACCCGUGUAGUCCCUGUCUCUUAUAC
rnacentral:rRNA from 1 species